AGGGCUGUAGCUUAGAGGCAGAACAUCUGCUUUGCAUGCAUGAAGUCCCAGGUUCAAUCCCCAGCAUUUCCA